rnacentral:pre_miRNA from 1 species
GACGAGCCCUGACUGGGAUAUGAAAUCACGUGAACAGCGUUCUGAGUACAUGUCUGUACCCGUAAUCUUCAUAAUCCAAGCCAGGGUUCGCC